rnacentral:rRNA from 1 species
GACGAACGCUGGCGGCGUGCUUAACACAUGCAAGUCGAACGGUGAUGCUCCAGCUUGCUGGAGUGGAUCAGUGGCGAACGGGUGAGUAACACGUGAGCAACCUGCCCCAGACUCUGGAAUAAGCGCUGGAAACGGCGUCUAAUACUGGAUACGAAACUGGCCCGCAUGGGCAUGGUUUGGAAAGUUUUUCGGUUUGGGAUGGGCUCGCGGCCUAUCAGCUUGUUGGCGAGGUAAUGGCUCACCAAGGCGACGACGGGUAGCCGGCCUGAGAGGGCGACCGGCCACACUGGGACUGAGACACGGCCCAGACUCCUACGGGAGGCAGCAGUGGGGAAUAUUGCACAAUGGGCGAAAGCCUGAUGCAGCGACGCCGCGUGAGGGAUGACGGCCUUCGGGUUGUAAACCUCUUUCAGCAGGGAAGAAGCGAAAGUGACGGUACCUGCAGAAGAAGCACCGGCUAACUACGUG